rnacentral:rRNA from 1 species
CAGGUGUUGCAUGGCUGUCGUCAGCUCGUGUCGUGAGAUGUUGGGUUAAGUCCCGCAACGAGCGUAACCCUCAUCCUUAGUUGCAUCAGGUAAUGCUGAGCACUUUAAGGAAACUGCUAGUGAUAAACUGGAGGAAGGUGGGGAUGAUGUCAAGUCAUCAUGGCCCUUAUGGAGUGGGCUACACACGUGCUACAAUGGUGGCUACAAUGGGCUGCAAAGUCGCGAGGCCAAGCUAAUCCCUUAAAAGCCAUCUCAGUUCGGAUUGUACUCUGCAACUCGAGUGCAUGAAGUUGGAAUCGCUAGUAAUCGUGGAUCAGCAUGCCACGGUGAAUACGUUCUCGGGUCUUGUACACACUGCCCGUCACGCCAUGGGAAUUGGUUUCACUCGAAGCUAAUGACCUAACCGCAAGGAGGGAGUUAUUUAAAGUGGGAUCAGUGACUGGGGUGAAGUCGUAACAAGGUAAGCGUAGUGCU